UCCCUCUCUUUUAUUUUUCAUGGGAUCAGUAAAUAGUAAAUUGGUCCCCAGUAAUCUACUGGAAGGAGCCAAAAGGAAUUCAUGAAUAUUAUCCUGUUCCAGAAGAUUGGUUAUCUGCUACUGAGCUCAGCAGGUAUUUCCUCUCUGAAAAUCUCCUUCCCUGCAAGUGUGCUGCAUUCGGAAGUUCUGUUGUGCUCCUUGGAGAAGUUAGCUGCCGUUCCUAGAGCCAUGCAGCUGAGUGCUGUGGUCUGACUCUUCCGAGUGCUGGAGAUGCAACAGUUUGUCAAGGUGCAAGGUAACACUGGGAAGUGAAAUCUUGCCCUCUUCAGGAUACUAAUCGCCACUCAGCUCCCACUCCGUGCUCUCUUAUCCUGGAAACCUUUUUGCCCACAGCAGGAACACGUUAUCCUGAAAGCCACGCAUCCAUUUCACACAGGAACUCUUCAGCCRCCAUCGGCUGGCAAUGGAUUUCAGCCUGCGCUGCCCUGCAGGCCUAGCAGCCUGGAGAUGAGGCAGCUCUGCUUCCCAUUACCCAUCUCUGCGCCUUGUCCCGCUUCCCGAGGCCUCGCAUUAGGUCCGGCCUUGCGGGGAGGUCAGCGCAGGCCUGUGGGCCAUGCAGCUGG